rnacentral:lncRNA from 1 species
CAUUUAGAUAAAAUGCAAGGUAUAGCGUGUUUCUACACUUUUAUUAUUGGUACAUGUGGUAAGAAUAUUUAAAUUAAAUAUAAAUUUAAUUUUCUGUUUCGGUUUGAUUGCAAUUUGAAAUGUAUCAUUAGUGUAUACGUUUGAACAUCAGUGAAAUAUUCAUUGGUGCUAUUGUUUUUGACAUAUUAAUGAUAUUAUACGAAAGUCAUUAUACUUCAAAGAAAUAUUUUAUUAAUAAAAAUUUAAAUCAAGAAAAUCUCGUUACAAAUCAGUAUGUAUUAUCACUUAUCUAUUUGAAAUAAAACGCCAUAAUCAUAUGGAAAUUGUUGCUGAGUUGAAUUGGUACAGCGAUUUGAGAACCAAUGUACAUUACCUGUUUGUUAUAUGAAGAUUAUUUCAAAGUGCAUGAUCAAUGAGUCUUAAACAAAUCAUAAUUAUUCGCAACAAUUGUUUUUACCGAAUCACUUCGAAUGAGGUUUGUGUUGUUUAUUCUUUAGUUUUAUUAUGUUGUGUCAUGUGUACUAUUGUUUGUCUGUUUGUCCAUUUCAUUUUUUGCCAUGGCGUUGUCAGUUUAUUUUUGAUUUAUGAGUUUGACUGUCCCUCUGGUAUCUUUCGUCCCUCUUUCGUAUUGACUGUAUUAUUUUUCUUUUAAUAAUUCUUUUCAGCAUACAUACAGUUGAUUGGUUAACCUUUCUCAUACUGAUUCAUUCAACACUAAGCCCAACGCAUGUAAUAUGAAUCCUACUAGCACCAACAGUUGUAAUAUGAAUCUUCCAUCCGUCGAUACGAUUGAUGCAGAAACACGAGGUUUCCGUGUUAAGACACUUCGAAUACUUGGUGGUACACAGAUAGGACUUGGAAUUGUAUGCGCUAUCUUGAGUUUAGUAGGCGUGAUUUUUGAUGGCGUAAGAAUGAACAAAGACUGUCAACAUAGCCAUCACCAAUACGGCUCUUAUAAUGGAAAUUAUAAUGGAUAUGAUUAUGGCUGUCACUAUUUUCAUUCUCCAACGUUAUUCGGAUUCAAUAUCACAUGUUUGAUUUUUUCAGGAUGGGUAAGUUAGUUACUGGUUCUGCAUGCAAUGUUUACUUGUUUAACAUCUUUGAACUUACAUAUAAUAGUUUCGGAUAUUUCAAUCCUUACAUUUCGAAUUAAUGCAUGUAUUCAUACUUUUAUCAUACGGUCUAGAAAUUAUAAAAACACUUUAAUAUACCAUUUUUUGA